CCUGGUAGGUCAGACGGUAAAGAUUCUGCCUGCAAUGCAGGAGACCUGGGUUCGAUCCCAGGAUCGGGA
rnacentral:tRNA from 1 species